UCUAAGUGUUCCUUUACUUUUAUUUCGGCAAUUAAGAUGCACAAUUUUCAACAAGAACGUUUACACUUUGCCCAUUAUUGUCCAUCUCGCGAUAACUCAACAAAAUUCUACUUCAGGAAUACGUGAAGUACGAUUUGCAA